GAUGAACGCUAGCGGUGUGCCUAAUGCAUGCAAGUCGAACGGGAAGCUUGACUUCGGUCAAGUGGAGAGUGGCGAACGGGUGAGUAACACGUUGGUGACCUGCCCCAGAGAGGGGGACAACCAUUGGAAACGAUGGCUAAUACCCCAGAUGUUAAUAUGUUUAGAGAAGUAUUGACUAAAACUCCGGUGCUCUGGGAGGGGCCAGCGGCCCAUCAGCUAGUUGGUAAGGUAAAAGCUUACCAAGGCAAAGACGGGUAGGGGGCGUGAGAGCGUGACCCCCCACACUGGUACUGAGACACGGACCAGAUACCUACGGGUAGCAGCAGCAAGGAAUAUUGCCCAAUGGACGAAAGUCUGAGGCAGCAACACCGCGUGGAGGAAGAAGGCCUUCGGGUCGUAAACUCCUUUUCUGAGGGAUGAGGAAGGACAGUACCUCAGGAAUAAGUCUCGGCUAACUACG
rnacentral:rRNA from 1 species